rnacentral:rRNA from 1 species
CACGCCGUAAACGAUGAGUACUAGGUGUAGGGGGUAUCGACCCCCCCUGUGCCGCAGUAAACACAAUAAGUACUCCGCCUGGGAAGUACGAUCGCAAGAUUAAAACUCAAAGGAAUUGACGGGGGCCCGCACAAGCGGUGGAUUAUGUGGUUUAAUUCGAAGCAACGCGAAGAACCUUACCAGGGCUUGACAUCCUACUAACGAAGUAGAGAUACAUCAGGUGCCCUUCGGGGAAAGUAGAGACAGGUGG